UACGUAGGUGGCAAGCGUUGUCCGGAUUUACUGGGCGUAAAGAGCGCGCAGGCGGUCGUUCAAGUCGCGUGUGAAAGCCCCCGGCUCAACUGGGGAGGGUCACGCGAUACUGCGCGGCUCGAGACAGGUAGGGGAGAUCGGAAUUCCUGGUGUAGCGGUGAAAUGCGCAGAUAUCAGGAGGAACACCGGUGGCGAAGGCGGAUCUCUGGGCCUGUUCUGACGCUGAGGCGCGAAAGCUAGGGGAGCGAACAGG
rnacentral:rRNA from 1 species